UACGGGGGGGGCAAGCGUUGUUCGGAAUUACUGGGCGUAAAGGGCGCGCAGGCGGCGCGGUAAGUCACUUGUGAAAUCUCUGAGCUUAACUCAGAACGGCCAAGUGAUACUGCAGUGCUAGAGUGUGGAAGGGGCAAUCGGAAUUCUUGGUGUAGCGGUGAAAUGCGUAGAUAUCAAGAGGAACACCGGAGGUGAAGACGGGUUGCUGGGCCAACACUGACGCUGAGGCGCGAAAGCCAGGGGAGCAAACGGG
rnacentral:rRNA from 1 species